GAUGAACGCUGGCGGCGUGCCUAACACAUGCAAGUCGAGCGAUUUACUUCGGUAAAGAGCGGCGGACGGGUGAGUAACGCGUGGGUAACCUGCCCUGUACACACGGAUAACAUACCGAAAGGUAUGCUAAUACAAGAUAACAUACUUUUAUCGCAUGGUAGAAGUAUCAAAGCUUUUGCGGUACAGGAUGGACCCGCGUCUGAUUAGCUAGUUGGUAAGGUAACGGCUUACCAAGGCGACGAUCAGUAGCCGACCUGAGAGGGUGAUCGGCCACAUUGGAACUGAGACACGGUCCAAACUCCUACGGGAGGCAGCAGUGGGGAAUAUUGCACAAUGGGCGAAAGCCUGAUGCAGCAACGCCGCGUGAGCGAUGAAGGCCUUCGGGUCGUAAAGCUCUGUCCUCAAGGAAGAUAAUGACGGUACUUGAGGAGGAAGCCCCGGCUAACUACGUGCCAGCCGCCGCAGUAA
rnacentral:rRNA from 1 species